rnacentral:rRNA from 1 species
UACGAAGGGUGCAAACGUUGCUCGGAAUUAUUGGGCGUAAAGCGCACGUAGGCGGUAUGCAAGUCGGAUGUGAAACUCCCUCGGCUUAACCAAGGAACGUGGCAUCCGAAACUGGCAGUACUGAGUACGAAAGAGGAUCGCGGAAUUCCCGGUGUAGAGGUGAAAUUCGUAGAUAUCGGGAGGAACACCGAUGGCGAAGGCGGCAAUCCUGGACCGGUAUUGACGCUGAUGGCGCGAAAGCCAGGGGAGACCAAACGGGAUAGAA